rnacentral:lncRNA from 1 species
GUGGCUCCAUCUGUGAAAGCACAGCCUGUGGAAAACCCGAUAUCAGCCAAAAUCCCAUCGGCUAUAGGUCUUGCACAGCAUUACUAUAUGAAGCCUAAGAGAGCCGCCGCCACAAGGCAGCCGAGCAGCUCAGGAGAGAGCGUCACUGACCACCAGCAGGAGCCCAGCAGAUCUCAACCACUCAACCUCAGUCAGACCACUGUCUCCUCGUCCCAAGAACCAUCCGGUGGCUCAUCCUCCCUGCGCCGACAGCAAACAUACCCGCCUGCCUCCUCUCGUUACUGUCUCCAGAAGACCCCGUCGUUCACCAGCACCCCCAGCCUCUACACCUACCCCACCCCCGUGUCCCACAUGGAGCGCCUGCUCGUACAAGGCUCCUCCCCCUCCAUGCACGCCCCGCCCACUAGUCACUAUGCAGCCAGUCUUAUCCCAAAGGACUCCAUUGGAAGCGUGGUCCACGGACUCUCCGCCCACUACCAGCAACAUUACCCCGCCCAUCCUUACAUCAGCACCAGCACCACUAGAGGAAGCGGGGCGUACAGCGGCUAUCAGCUCAGCCCGCGGAGGGUCCCUCAGUACCCCUACAUAUGACACACACAGACUGAUGUCACGUAGGGCCACGUCUUCAGAUUUUACGACCGUCAGACCUGCCGUCAACUGCUGCAACUGGUUUGAUCUGUCCUAUUUAUGUUUUAGAAUGUUAAUAUUUAGAAAUCUAUUAUGUCGUUUUGCAUCCGUUUACUGAGAAAUCCAGUGUCCGGUUAGGUAAGUUUAUUUUCUUAGCUCAAGGAACGCUGACGUGUUUUUAAUCCGUAAGCAAUAGCGGAAUAAUGCUGACAUAAAGGAACAGGGAUCGUAACGCCGUAGAUUCGUCUGUUCGACUAAAAUCCUUACACUAACCCUUGACUCGUUUAUACUCCUUUUUGUUUUUAGAUUCAAUGUCGUGUUUUUGUUGUCGUAGGAUCUCUUGUUUUUAAGUUAUGUUUGAUUGUGAAGCUGACUGGUUCUCAACCACUUUACUGGAAGGUCAAGAUGUGGAAAGGAAAAAAAAAUGUUAUGUGCCCUGGUCAUAUUGGUAUUUAAGUUAGAGCUAUAUGUUAGUCAAAUCAAAGUCCUGGUAGAAUCGUAGAGUGUAUGUUGUGAGGAAUAUCAGUGGAUAUAAAGGAGUAACAUCAACUUCCCAUCAAGUUUUUAUUUUAUUGUAUUUAUUUUUUAGCUAAAAUUGUUUAAUGAUGUCAAUACUCUCCUUGGAGAACAGGGGGGGGGUAAAGAUAUUUAACAGAAGAGCUGGGAUGUCAAAGCCAAUGAAAAUGUGAUGCUACUUCGGAAACCAUAAUUAC